GAUGAACGCUGGCGGCGUGCCUAAUACAUGCAAGUCGAGCGAACAGACGAGGAGCUUGCUCCUCUGACGUUAGCGGCGGACGGGUGAGUAACACGUGGAUAACCUACCUAUAAGACUGGGAUAACUUCGGGAAACCGGAGCUAAUACCGGAUAAUAUAUUGAACCGCAUGGUUCAAUAGUGAAAGACGGUUUUGCUGUCACUUAUAGAUGGAUCCGCGCCGCAUUAGCUAGUUGGUAAGGUAACGGCUUACCAAGGCAACGAUGCGUAGCCGACCUGAGAGGAUGAUCGGCCACACUGGAACUGAGACACGGUCCAGACUCCUACGGGAGGCAGCAGUAGGGAAUCUUCCACAAUGGGCGAAAGCCUGACGGAGCAACGCCGCGUGAGUGAUGAAGGUCUUCGGGUCGUAAAACUCUGUUAUUAGGGAAGAACAAAUGUGUAAGUAACUAUGCACGUCUUGACGGUACCUAAUCAGAAAGCCACGGCUAACUACGUG
rnacentral:rRNA from 1 species